CGGGGACUGGCUCAGUGGCAGAGCGCUCGCUUGGGGUGCGAGAGGUCGAGGGUUCGAUUCCCUCGUCCCCGA
rnacentral:tRNA from 4 species